AUUUUCCUUAAGUGUCAGCCAGCUGAGAAAUAAAGAGAAAGAGUACAAAGAGGAAUUUUACAGCUGGGCUGCUGGGGGUGACAUCACGUAUCCGUAGGACCAUGAUGCCCACCUGAGCCUUAAAGCCAGCAAGCUUUAUUAAGGAUUUCAAAAGGGGAGGGAGGUGCAAGAACAGGGAGUAGGUCACAAAGAUCACAUGCUUCAAAGGGCAAAAAGGAGAACAAAGAUCACAUGCUUCUGAGGAAACAGGACAAGGGCAAAAUCAGAAACUCCUGAUAAGGGUCCAACAAAGAUCACAAGGCAAAGGGCAAAAGCAAAGAUCACAAGGCAAAGGACAAAAGAUUGACAGGAUUAAGAGAUUAAAGUAAGACAGGCGUAAGAAAUUGUGAAAGUAUUGUUUGGGAACUGGUAAAUGUCCAUGAAAUCUUCACAAUUUAUAUUCCUCUGCCACAGCUCCAGCUGGUCCCUCUGUUCAGGGUCCCUGACUUCCCGCAACAAAAAAGAGAAGAUUGGGAUAAAUAUUUUAGCUUUUCUAUGUAUAAAGAAUCUUGA
rnacentral:lncRNA from 10 species